UUUAUUCAGGCGGUGGAAAUGAGAGCGAGCAGACAACUGCACGUUCCAAAGGGCGUAUGCAAAAAGAAAGUAUAAAGAAAAACCCUCCUACCCUUGCAGCUAGGGAGGAGCGUGUACGGAGCAAGGAAGCCGUGAGCUGGAAGGGACCUGGGGAAGGGGAAGCACGCUGCAAAAUGGAGCGGUCAAACAAAGCACAGAAGAAAUUCGAAAUAAAGUUCAGCUUGGAGCGGAAUCUUACCUCUGAGCAAGGCCAUGUCGGCUGCUGGGCGGGCUAACGCUUCCGUCGCCUCUCGACGAGCGGCUCAGGCUGAAGGUCUCCCCCUUACACGCCCACUCUCUGCUGCAAUCCUGGCCCUUGCCCUUUCACCGACUUCUCCUCGCUUCUAGCCUCCUCCUCUUCAGCACAAAAGAGGAGCGCCAGCGGGCGAGACGGUCACGUGCAGCCCGGGCUGACAAUACCAAGUGCUAGUCUUCUAUUCUGAAGAGGAAACAGCAGCAUGGAUGCCUUCCUACAGAACCAAGUCUUUCUCCACUGCAUUGUGAGGUGGCAGAUGCUCUAUCCCAUCACAAUUGGCAGAGUGCCCCAACCUCCGGCUUGUUUUGUGAGAGAUGGAAGAUUGGAUCUUGGGAAGCCACCUGCCAUAAUGCAGAAAUAAAAUUACCUGGCUGCUGCAGUAGUGUCUGUGGCUUGGAUGCUGCUACCUAAGACUAAGCCUUGUUUUUGUAUUAUUUGAUUGACCAUGACUGUGCAUUGGCUGAAGAAAGAGAAUUGUCUUGAAUUUAUUAUUUCUUAAAAAGCAAAGUUCAAUGGAAAUGUUUUCAUCAUGAUGGAAAAAGUCAGUAGUAGUAAAAAGAGAAAUGUUUGCCAAGGUCAAGAAGAAUGGCUUUGUUCGGUGGAGGCAACACACUGGUUGCGCUUCCUUGUUCUGUCAAGCUUAGGAGCCACAGAGCUGGCAUACCUAAGCAUAAAGGAUCUUCCACCCUUUUUUCCUUACUUGAGUGAAUCUCCACCAACUGUUGGGUGCAGGUUCUUUUACGUUUGCUCCAUAAAGGAAAUUAGUUUGCUGCAUAAAGGAAAUCCCAAGAGAAAGAGGCAAAGUUUGCUAUGGGAACUUGGUAUUCUACACCCAAGUAAGGAUGUGAAUGAGCAGUUAUAGGGAGAAAUUCUCUUGACUAGAGCAUUGUUGGUUGUUUGCUACAGAGAGUAUCACACGAUUGGCUGAAACCUAACUGGGCACCCUUGGCAAGGGCAAAAAGCUACAACAGAAGCCGAAGGCACUGUCAGCUGAAGGAGAAAUAUCUCAAUGUAUGAAGAAGCAGCCGCUAUUUGCCAUGGUUACUGGUUUAUCCUUUCACUAUACUAUGAAUUAGGAAUACGAAAAGUGAUACUGAGCCACAGUUCCUAGUCUUUCCAACCAUUUGUUUUUUGUUAUAACCUCUGCCUAACAAUAUUCAUGUACUAAGUGUUGCAGCAGCAUCUGAAUAAGUGCACAUUCAAUAUGCUGCAUGAAAGCAAUGGUUUUUUUGUGUACAAGGUGACUGUGGGGUUUUGCUCGUUUCUCUCUCUGCAUUUCCAAGGACUCAGUACUGCAACAUAACCUGAAUCAGCAAGACUUGAACAUGUAGACUGCUGAACUUUUAAAAAGAGCUAAGUAAGACUAAUUAUCUGCUUAAAAAGUGGGCAAGUGCUCCAAUUCUUUCCUGAAUUAGAUCAGAAUGCUUUAGGAUCAAUUCAUUAGUAAAACUGCAUUCUGUUAUAAGGGAGAUACUGUUAGUUUUGUAAAAGUACUCCCAUCAAAAAUCUACUGCCGGCGAUGCAAGGGUAAAGUGUGUAAGAAGGAUUUCGGCAUGGCUCUUACACAUUUUGAAAAGAGCUGCCACAUUGUUUAAGUCUGUGUCCUACAACCAGUUGGCUAGCCGCUAAGUGCAAGUUAUAGGAAGCGGCUCUGCGUUUCUCAUUCUGAUGUUAUUUGAUGUAGGUAAAAUUUGAUGUAGGCCUUUGGAAACUUUGUUUUGAGGGCAACGGAAUAGGUAGGCGUUGCAGAUGUACUUUAAUGUCCAAAUAAUAGGGGGUUGAGAAAACUAUUUACUUUAGAUAUUGGUGAUAAAGUUGGGGGAGUAGUUUUUAUUGGUUACACGGGCCAUGUUCACACAAUCAGACCUUAGCUUAACAAGUUAGGAUCUGCAUGCAGCUCCAUGGAGCCACUUUGUUCCCCCUUUGCACAGGAAGAGAAAAAAGUCAGGAAGCCACAGUUAACCAUGGCUUCCCUGUUAUAUGCAAACCCAGAAACUGGUGGAUGUCUUUCAAACAAAACUAGGAUAUGAAACCAUGGGCUGUUUGGAAGCCAUUACCCAUAGUUUCCUGGUUUGCAUGUAGUGGGAAGCCAUGGUUAUCAGUGGUUUCUUGGGUUAUUGCCCCAUUCACCUGAAAGGGCUGCGUGUCAGUGCAUGGAGUUCAUGCAUAUCCAGUUUCUUAAGCCACAUUUCAUCGGGCAACCAGGUCCCUGAUGGGGAAGUGGAGCUGUUAAGCCAGUACUGUUCUGAAGUAAAAUUAAUUUUCUUGUUUGCUUCAAAAUGAUGAUAAAGAUACAAGGCAAUCAGUGCUAAUACCUCCCUCUAGUUCUCUCAAAAGGCUUCUCUGUCAACCAACAUUUUGUUACCAAAGCAUCACAUGACUUUUUCCAUGAUAUGAAACAGUACCCUCCAUAGCUGGCUUGGCUGAAGCUAUGUGCCAUUCUGAUUGCCCAGCCUGUCCUAUGGAAGCUUCAUGAGAUCGCAUGUUGGCUUCACAAUGAUUCAUUGCUGAGCGGGGGCACUUGUCCUGCAGAUUGGUCCUGCCACUAGUAACUGUAAGAGCUCUUCAACUAUCACGGCCAGGAAUUGUCCUUUUUGUGAAGUAUGAUGGACCUUGCACACUGUACUACCUUUUCUCACAAUCACGGAAAAUCAAAUUAGUCUCAUAUAUAUUAAUUGGAUUAAAGAAACAUAAAUCUUCUGAAUAACCUACAGCAGCCUGCAGUGGAAUCAUCAUGAUGGGGCUGAGCUCAUGCAGAGCUUAGUUCCCUCUUUCUCAGUGUUCCAUGUGAAAGAAAUAUUUAUGGCCGCUUGAUACUGAAGGCGGACUGGAAUUGCCCCAGUGUGUGCUCCUAGGUUAUGGCCCAUACAAAUUUGUAUUUGAGGAAGCUGGGAAAACAACCACAACCACCUUCUUGAGCCCCAGUUGCAAAUAAAAAGUGUUGUUCGCUCCACCAGUUAGUUUUCUUCCAGGCUACAUAAUUCUUAGUUUGGCCUAUUGCAGCUUUCUUUUCCAAAAUGAUCAUUUUAAAAACAGUGGGCGGCAGCAGCAGUAACUCAGAAAUUGAAGCAAAACCCAUAACCAUGAACAAGAGAAAGAUGUGUGGCCAUCUUGGCUUCUAUUAUUUCAGGGUAGAAUUUCUUAAACCGUUAUUUAUGAAAAUCAAAAUAGUGGUUACCGAUGCUAGUGCCUUAAUGACAGCUAGGAGGCAAUAUUUUUAGCAUAGUAUCAAGUGGUACAAACCCCCUCUUGUUUCAAGUAUUCUUAGCAGCAAAAUCCCCCCCCCCAAAAGCCCUCCAUACAAACUAAAAAGCAUAUAACCAAAAUACAGGAUUAGCUUCUUAUGCCAUAAAAUUUAGCACUGAUUCACUAAAGUGUAUUGGUUCAUUAACCAUUCAUUUGGUCCACUUUUGAAGAGAUCCUUAAAUUCCUCUUUUUUUUUUUGCUUUAACUCUUAGGAAAUGGGCUGGGAGUCAAUAUAAUAUCUUCAAACUUUGUUAAGGAAUUCCAGGCUGAGAGAAGCAGGGAUGUGAAUAGAGUCCAUGGUUAGAGAGGAAGGGUUGAAUGGAAACAAAACGGGGAACAUGAACUUGAAGUCUAACAGUAGCUGAGGAGGGUCAUUCCGCUCUUGCAAAUGUGCCUACAAGGAGGAACACACAAACAGACAAAAUGUAAAGCAGCUCAAAUUUGGAACACUUAAGCACAGUUGAGACUAUAGCCUCAUCCUCACACAGGGGUGACUUUCUGAAGCUGGAAGAGGAAAAGGGGUAUGAGUGGUAAUGCUCAUUUGCUUGGCAUGCCACCCAAUUGAGCAGUCAAAUCUUGCCAAGUGAUUGCCAGUUAUUUGAUCACCAUCAAAUUUUCUAUGAAGCUAAGUGGCACAUGGCCACUAGGUAAGCAUUUUUGCCUUUAUUUAUUUCAUGAUAGUAUCAUUUGUUCACAAGGGCAGGAAUGAAAACUGCUUUCUCACUCCUCCACCCCUGCCCUGCAGCAGUUGCGGGCAAACCUAUCAGUAUUAUCUAUCCUACGGGCACCCUACUACAACCAUGCAUCUCCAGAACAAGAACAGGCAUGCAAACCACUGUCUGUGACUCCAUCUGGCAUGCUGUAGAAGAUGGGGUGUACCCCUUCCAUUUGAUCUGGGUCUUUUUAACCCAACUUUUGUGCCAAUUCCACAACCUAUAUAGCCUAAUUCAAGCAUGAUCAGAACCACGCAAAGGAGAGUGUAUGGGUGUUGAAAAGCCCCACCCUUCUGGUGUGUCACAGUUCCCAAAUUUGCAGCCCUCCAUGAGUUGCAGGGCAUUCUUCUGAGGUGGGGAGCCAGGAGACCAUUUGGCAAUGUUUGCAAAUUUUACAUGGAUUUAUUUUACUUCUACAGACCACCAAGAUACAUGGCAUUCUCCUAGCUGCGGCCUCUGCAAUAUGCAGUCCCUCUCAUUGCUGAUGUUGCCUGUGAUAAAGCAUUUUGCAACUAUCAAUAUAAAUUUGUAGAAUAGAGGGAAAACACAUGGCUUUGCGUGCAUAAGGUCCAAGGUUCAUUUCUUGGUAUCUCCACUUACAAGUGUGCCAGGUGUUAAGGCUGGGACAGACCAUUGGCUGAGAUUCUGGAGAGCCAUUGCUUCUUGAAACUAAUAGAACUGGGCUAGGUUGACCAAUGGCCUGACUCUGUAUAAGGCAGCCUUUUCUGUUUCUAUGAGUAACACUGCGUAGAAAAGGCCCUAGGAAGAGGAGGAGGGAAAUUGGCUAUAUUGGGCUAAAAAAAAAAGGGAUCUCAGUGUUUUUGUAUCCACUUAAUAAGUUCUCUUUAAAUGCUGUGCCUUUUAGAAAACAGGCACAUGGCUGGUUUUUCAGUGUGGCAGACGUAAAACUCCCCAAUGCCUCUCUGUUGGAGCACUCACCUGAAUGUUUCUUAUGAAGGCUACCGUCACUCGCUCUUCAAAUUCGUUCACAGGAGUGUAGAGAUUGAGGAUUUUUACAAUCUGUGGAGAGGAAAAUAAGAAGUGGGUUGUGUGUGUGUGUGGGGGAAACGACACCAUAGCUGAACUGAUGCCGUGUGCCUUGUGUCACCACUAUUUAUAGAUAUUAUCACUGCUUCUCUAGGAAAGGGAGCAAACAGGAACUAAUGAUGGAAGGACAAGUUACAAAGAUAACACAGGGCUCCCAACUUGGAUGAGGAGGGAGAGGUUAGUUGCUUCCAAGUGGGAGGGGGUGCCUAACCUUUGCAUUAGCUGUCCAGUGAUACUCUCUUGUAAAUGGUUCCCUUUGGCUAUUUUAAAUAGUCUUCCUAUCAGCCGGUCUCUGGGGAAAGUUAGCCGUGGGGGUGGGGGCAGAGGAUUUAGGGGAGAUGCAUGGUCAAAUCUGCUGGUGAUCUUGAGCCAGUUAAUAUCUCUCUCAGCCUGACUUAUCUCACAAGGUUGUUGCGAGGUUAAAAUGGGUAUGGGUGGUGGUGACAUUCUUGUGUUCAAUCUUGUGUUAAGCCACUUUGCAUGCCUAAAGAAAUGAAUAAACGUACUCUUUCAGCUCCUUACCUGCUGUGUGGUGAGGGAUGUGCAUAAGGAACAUAAAGCCUCUGCAUCUUCUGGGGUUUUCUUUUUCAGCUGCAAGAGCUGCGCUGCCUGGAUCAGAGGCUCCAAGGUCUUGGCAGCCCCGCUCUGCUGCAGAUUCUUCCCUCGCAACCAUUCCUCCAGCUGGCUGAUAUUAAACCUGGAACGACACAAGAAAGCCAUACGUUUAAUAAGGAAAAAGAAGAAAAAAAUAUUUCAGACAGUUGUCAGGAGGAUUUGAGUUUUCCAAUGUAUGCCAGUGAUUUCUGCAAGAAAGGAAUAUGACUCCCGAAGAUGAUUUACGCGCAUUAGAGACUGGAGUUGAUGUUGAGGCAAGGAAACUGGUGUGAUAGUGCUGCUACACCAGGCAUGGCAUAGCACCAGCACAUGUUCCUCCUACAUUGCACUGGCCCUUCUUUUCAGAGUUACACAAUCUACUGAAGUUCAGACUCAAAGGAAUAAGCAGCUUUAGUUUCCAGGACAGAUCCACAAGAGACUGAAAAACCUCCUAUACGCUAAUAGGGAACUCAUUCUCUGAGCAUGGAUGCUUAUGUAGCAAAAUGGCACCAUCCACACAAAGACAUAUCAACAGCUUUGGAGGAACCCCAAAUUUGCAAUUGUUUGUGUGUGUGGGGAUCACUAGGAAGGGAAACUCCAGACAAAAAAAGCCCACAGUUAACAAAGACUGAGCAUGUUCAGUGAGCACACUCACUGGUGGGGCAAGGGAACAGAAAGUGGGGAAGAGGAGGAUGGAACAGAGUAUCCUGUAUUCAACACUACAAAAGUUUGUUUCUGAUCCGACUUGUCUUAAUAAGACAGUGAAGACAACUCAGCAGUAAUCUCCCCAGGGCAAGCCCCAAUGAAGUGAAUGUGCGCAGUGCUGCUUUCACUAGAGAAGUUCCAGAUGACAGGGCACGUGCCCAUCCAUCAUGGUGACGUUUCCCACAACCAGGCAUCUAUCCUUGCUGCUACAGUUCUCUCACCGUAUCUCCGCUGUAUUGCUUCAGACAAUGAAGAAGGCGACAGGUGUUAGCCAGCCAAAAUGAUGUCAUCUCAAAGUCAUCGUUAUGUUUCUGUGAAGACAAAAAGAAAAGGGAAAUAUGAAAAUCCUGUUUGAACUCUCUGAUUUUAUGGGUUAAUUGUGUUACAAAAAGGAUUUAUUCCUGGGGUUGCUCAUAGUCACUAUUCUGUUAUAGGCAGGUGAUCUAGAUUUUUCCAGCAGAAAUACUUCAUUCUGCUAUUUCCAAAUAUGCUUGCAUUGAACCAUUUUGGAAGUAGCGUUGGUAUGGCAGGAGGGGGAAGCAAUGUAGAAGAAGCAGGGCCAUAAGGACCGAGGGGCAGAUAAGGAGUCAUCCCUGGAGCCUAUAAACCUUCAUGAUUUCCUUGAAAACAAACUGGUUCUGACAUUUUUCCUACAAGGGUACCCUCUCAUCCAGACUUCUGAUGAUUCUCAGUCUGCCCCUCUGUAACCAGAGCUGGCUCCAAGUUUGAUGAGGCCCUGGGGAAAGUGCCCUCUGGUGGACACCCUCAGACUUAUCUGGCAGUGGUAGCAGCAGAGGAGCAUUCUGAGGGCAGCUAGCCACCACUUAUAGAUGUAAUUUCCCACAAUGCCCCAGGAAACCUGAUGUUGUACCCCUACAGGGCAUAGGUGGGGUAGGGCAGACAAAAGUGCUGUUAGGCCUUGCCAGAAUGCUGGGGACUGGGUAGCUGCUGAAACUGGGCCUGGCCGGACAUAUGAGGCCUAGAAAUUCUGAGAUCUGAAGCAAAACUCAUGAGCAAAAGCAAAAAUGAAGUUUCUAGCACAUCUACUGAAGCUCUAGCACGUGCCGAAGAGAUUCUCUGGAUGCAGCUCAUGUAUUUAAUAGGCUCCAGUGUUUAAGGGGGAAGUUUCUGUGUCCUGUAGUGAGGCAGGCCUGUUCUUUUCCCAGAAUCUGCUGCCAACCAUAAAGUUGCAUCAUUAAUCUUGUCAUGCUUUUUGCUAAAAAUAUCAGAACAAAGCUGGAAAAAAUGAUAAUUUGUUCCUCUGUUAAAAAUAA